UACGUAGGGUCCGAGCGUUGUCCGGAAUUACUGGGCGUAAAGAGCUCGUAGGUGGUUUGUCGCGUUGUCCGUGAAAACUCACAGCUCAACUGUGGGCGUGCGGGCGAUACGGGCAGACUGGAGUACUGCAGGGGAGACUGGAAUUCCUGGUGUAGCGGUGGAAUGCGCAGAUAUCAGGAGGAACACCAGUGGCGAAGGCGCCGCUCUGGGCCGUGACUGACGCUGAGGAGCGAAAGCGUGGGUAGCAAACAGG
rnacentral:rRNA from 1 species